rnacentral:rRNA from 1 species
GCCCUACGGGGCGCAGCAGUAGGGAAUCUUCCACAAUGGACGAAAGUCUGAUGGAGCAACGCCGCGUGAGUGAAGAAGGGUUUCGGCUCGUAAAGCUCUGUUGGUAGUGAAGAAAGAUAGAGGUAGUAACUGGCCUUUAUUUGACGGUAAUUACUUAGAAAGUCACGGCUAACUACGUGCCAGCAGCCGCGGUAAUACGUAAGUGGCAAGCGUUGUCCGGAUUUAUUGGGCGUAAAGCGAGUGCAGGCGGGUUCAUUAAUCUUAUGUGAAAAGCUUUGG